rnacentral:rRNA from 1 species
GGUCAAGUUACUAAGAGUGUAUGGGGGAUGUCUAGGCGCUGGGAGGCGAUGAAGGACGUGGUAGGCUGCGAUAUGCUCGGGGCAGGAGUCAAACAUCCGUUAAUCCCGAGAUCUCCGAAUGGGGUAACCCGUUAGAGCAGGGCAACCUGACUCUAUCAUCCAUGGUUGAAUGCAUAGGCCAUGUGAAGCUAACGCAGGGAACUGAAACAUCUCAGUACCUGUAGGAAAGGAAAUCAACCGAGACUCCGUUAGUAGCGGCGAGCGAAAGCGGAAUAGCCCAAACCAGAGAGUUUACUUUCUGGGGUUGCGGGCGCCGACACAAGUUAACUGAAGGCUAAUAGAACGUUCUGGAAAGUUCGACCAUAGAAGGUGAUAGUCCUGUACAUAAAAGCUGGAAGUUAAUGUUGGCGUACCAGAGUAGCGCGGAGCUCGUGGAACUCCGUGUGAAGCUGGGGGGACCACCCUCCAAGGCUAAGUACUACCCAGCGACCGAUAGUGAAUAGUAGCGUGAGCGAAAGAUGAAAAGUACCCCUAUUAGGGGAGUUAAAAGUUCCUGAAACCAUACACUUACAAGCUGUAGGAGCCCUAUGUUCCGAUUCGUCGGAAAAUGGGUGACUGCGUGCCUCUCGCAUAAUGAGCCGGCGAGUUACCGUUUGCGGCAAGGUUAAGCACUUAAGGUGCGGAGCCAUAGGGAAACCGAGUCUUAAUAGGGCGAUUUAGUCGCAGGUGGUAGACGCGAAACCAGGUGAUCUACCCAUGGCCAGGUUGAAAGGAAUGUAAAAAUUCUUGGAGGACCGAACCCACUAACGUUGAAAAGUUAGGGGAUGAGCUGUGGGGAGGAGUAAAAGUCUAAUCAAACCUGGAGAUAUCUCGUUCUCUCCGAAAUAGCUUUAGGGCUAGCCUUGAGCCACUACUCUACGGGGGUAGAGCUACUGAAUGGGGAUGGGGGGCCACCAGCCUACCCACCCCAACCAAACUCCGAAUACCGUAGAGACUAUCUCAGGAGUCAGACAGUGGGUGAUAAGAUUCAUUGUCAAGAGGGAAACAACCCAGAUCGCCAGCUAAGGUCCCGAAAUUCUGCUAAGUUCAUAAGGAAGUUGAAUUGCUGUGACAGCCAGGAUGUUGGCUUAGAAGCAGCCACCAUUUAAAAAGUGCGUAAUAGCUUACUGGUCGAGCAGUUUGGCGCCGAUAAUGAACGGGAAUUAAGUAGAAUACCGAAGCUGCGGAUGUGUCUUUUGACACGUGGUAGGAGAGCGUAGCUGUCAGCGUCGAAGCGGUACGGAAACGAGCCGUGGAGCGGCAGCUAGUGAUAAUGCCGGCAUGAGUAACGAUAAAACAGGUGAGAAUCCUGUUCGCCGAAAACCUAAGGUUUCCUGGGGAAGGUAAAUCCGCCCAGGGUUAGUCGGCCCCUUAGUCGAGGCUGAAAGGCGUAGACGAUGGAGAGCAGGUUAAUAUUCCUGCACCAUGUUAGUGGACGAAAGCAGUGACGCAUUCCUUAAGACAAUCCCGUGGCUAGUCGUGCGGGUCCCGCAAGGGCGAGGCCAUUUUACGAUGCUGAAGUUGUUGGCGGGAGUGCCGAGAAAUAGCUGCCGUAGGGUGAAGCUAGCGUGACCGUACUAAAACUGACACAGGUAGGUGAGGAGAAUAUCCUAAGGCGCUCGAGAAAACCGUCCUUAAGGAACUCGGCAAAUUGACCCCGUAAGUUCGCGAUAAGGGGUCCCUCCAGGUGCAACUAAUUUAUUAGUUGCAUGCUGAGGGCGCAGUGAAGUGGCUCUGGCGACUGUUUACCAAAAACACAGUUCUCUGCUAACUCGUAAAGAGGAUGUAUAGAGAAUGACGCCUGCUCGGUGCCGGAAGGUUAAAGGGAUGGGUUAUCCGCUUCGGUGGAGAAGCUCCUAACUGAAGCCCCGGUAAACGGCGGCCGUAACUAUGACGGUCCUAAGGUAGCGAAGUUCCUUGUCGGGUAAGUUCCGACGUGCAUGAACGGCGUAACGACUGGAGCACUGUCUCAACAACGGACUCGGUGAAAUUGUAGUAGUGGUGAAGAUACCACUUACCCGCGGAAAGACGGAAAGACCCCGUGAACCUUUACUAUAGCCUGGUAUUGAUGCCUGGCAUAACAUGCGUAGGAUAGGUGGGAGGCUUUGAGCUAUCGCUUUCGGGCGGUAAGGAGCCAACCUUGAAAUACCACCCUUGUUAUGUGAGUCGCCUCACCGCGAUCCGUGAAUCCGGACGUGGGAACGUGCCAGGUGGGUAGUUUGACUGGGGCGGUCUCCUCCUAAAGAGUAACGGAGGAGUGCAAAGGUACCCUCAGCCCGGUUGGCAAUCGGGUUUCGAGUGCAAAGGCAUAAGGGUGCUUAACUGCGAGAGAUAUAGCUCAAGCAGAUACGAAAGUAGGUCUUAGUGAUCCGGCGAUCCCUUGUGGACGGGUCGUCGCUCAACAGAUAAAAGGUACUCCGGGGAUAACAGGCUGAUCGCCUCCGAGCGUUCAUAGCGGCGAGG